AACGAACGCUGGCGGCAUGCCUAACACAUGCAAGUCGAACGAGACCUUCGGGUCUAGUUGCGCACGGGUGCGUAACGCGUGGGAACCUGCCCUUAGGUUCGGAAUAACUCCCCGUAAGGGGUGCUAAUACCGGAUAAUGUCUUCGGACCAAAGAUUUAUCGCCUUUGGAUGGGCCCGCGUUGGAUUAGCUAGUUGGUAGGGUAAAAGCCUAUCAAGGCGAGGAUCCAUAGCUGGUCUGAGAGGAAGAUCAGCCACACUGGCACUGAGACACGGCCCAGACUCCUGCAGGAGGGGGCAGUGGCGAAUAUUGGAAUACGGGCGAAAUCCUGAUCCAGCACUGCCGCGUGAGUGAUGAAGGCCUUAAAGUUGUAAAGCUCGUUUACCCGGGAUGAUAAUGACAGUACCGGAAGAAUAAGCUCCGGCUAACUCCGUG
rnacentral:rRNA from 1 species